rnacentral:rRNA from 1 species
UACCAGCACCCCGAGUGGCCGGGACGUUUAUUGGGCCUAAAGCAUCCGUAGCCGGUUCUACAAGUCUUCCGUUAAAUCCAGCUGCUUAACAGAUGGGCUGCGGAAGAUACUAUGGAGCUAGGAGGCGGGAGAGGCAAGCGGUACUCGAUGGGUAGGGGUAAAAAUCCGUUGAUCCAUUGAAGACCACCAGUGGCGAAGGCGGCUUGCCAGAACGCGCUCGACGGUGAGGGAUGAAAGCUGGGGGGAGCAAACCGG